GACAGAGGGUGCAAACGUUGCUCGGAAUCACUGGGCGUAAAGGGCGCGUAGGCGGGAAUGUAAGUCGGGCGUGAAAUCCCUAGGCUCAACCUAGGAACUGCACUCGAAACUGCGUUUCUUGAGUAUCGGAGAGGAAAGCGGAAUUCCUGGUGUAGAGGUGAAAUUCGUAGAUAUCAGGAGGAACACCAGUGGCGAAGGGCG
rnacentral:rRNA from 1 species